GCAAGUCGAACGAGAAAUUUCCGCUUCGGUGGGAAGAGUACAGUGGCGCACGGGUGAGUAACGCGUGGGUAACCUGCCUCUGAAUCUGGGAUAACCCCGUGAAAACGGGACUAAUACCGGAUAUCGUUCCUUUUGCUUUGGCUUUUGGGAUGAAAGGUGACCUGUUCAGGAAAGUUGCCGUUCGGAGAUGGGCCCGCGUUCCAUUAGCUUGUUGGUGGGGUAAUGGCCUACCAAGACUACGAUGGAUAGCUGGUCUGAGAGGAUGAUC
rnacentral:rRNA from 1 species